UGCUUCUAUGACGUUAGCGGCGGACGGGUGAGUAACACGUGGGCAACCUGCCUGUAAGACUGGGAUAACUUCGGGAAACCGAAGCUAAUACCGGAUAGGAUCUUCUCCUUCAUGGGAGAUGAUUGAAAGAUGGUUUCGGCUAUCACUUACAGAUGGGCCCGCGGUGCAUUAGCUAGUUGGUGAGGUAACGGCUCACCAAGGCAACGAUGCAUAGCCGACCUGAGAGGGUGAUCGGCCACACUGGGACUGAGACACGGCCCAGACUCCUACGGGAGGCAGCAGUAGGGAAUCUUCCGCAAUGGACGAAAGUCUGACGGAGCAACGCCGCGUGAGUGAUGAAGGCUUUCGGGUCGUAAAACUCUGUUGUUAGGGAAGAACAAGUACAAGAGUAACUGCUUGUACCUUGACGGUACCUAACCAGAAAGCCACGGCUAACUACGUGCCAGCAC
rnacentral:rRNA from 1 species